rnacentral:lncRNA from 1 species
AGAGACUCCAUCUCAAAAAAAAGAAGAAAAAGAAGAAGAAAGGAUAAAUAAUUGGGUGGAUGAAUAAGUGGAUCCAGAAGGAGAAGGCAGGGCUAAUGCUGGCCAUUUCCCUCUGCCUGGGGAGCCCGUGGCAUGUACUCAGGAACAGUUAGGUAACUCUCCACACCCCAGCCCUGCCCCAUUUCACAUUCCAGCCUCAAUUUCUGCAAAGCCCCAGCUGCUGUCUACACCCACUUCCUGCCAGGCCAGUAAUGUACAGAGAUUGGGUUCCUCC